UGGCUCUCUUCUUGGAGAUCAUGUGCGUGUUGUUUCAGCGCCGCCGCAAACUAGGAGGACGCGUGCGCGUGGAGCCUCAAGAAUCUUCUGCUCUAGCAUGUGUUCCACGUGCGAGUAUGAAGUAUGGGUACUACGGUGCGUCAAGGACAUUGUUCACCAUCAAGGAAGGAGAAAGAGAGGGUUCGGACUCUCACUCAACUGUUUCCUCCGCAGAGAAUAAUAGUACCACUAAUACUACUCUUAAUGUCGUAAUAAUCAACACCAACAAC
rnacentral:lncRNA from 1 species